rnacentral:rRNA from 1 species
GUAGGUGGCAAGCGUUGUCCGGAAUUAUUGGGCGUAAAGCGCGCGCAGGCGGUUCUUUAAGUCUGAUGUGAAAGCCCACGGCUCAACCGUGGAGGGUCAUUGGAAACUGGAGAACUUGAGUACAGAAGAGGAAAGCGGAAUUCCACGUGUAGCGGUGAAAUGCGUAGAGAUGUGGAGGAACACCAGUGGCGAAGGCGGCUUUCUGGUCUGUAACUGACGCUGAGGCGCGAAAGCGUGGGGAGCAAACAGGGAUUAGAUACCCUGGUAGUCCACGCCGUGAACGAUGAGUGCUAAGUGUUAGGGGGUUUCCGCCCCCCUUAGUGCUGCAGCUAACGCAUUAAGCACUCCGCCUGGGAGUACGGCCGCAAGGCUG